AGAGUUUGAUCCUGGCUCAGAACGAACGCUGGCGGCGUGCUUAACACAUGCAAGUCGAGUGCGCGGUUGUAGCAAUACAACUGGCGCACGGCGCACGGGUGCGUAACACGUGGGCAAUCUGCCCUCCGAUGGGGAAUAACCCCGCGAAAGCGGGGCUAAUACCGCAUAACAUUCCGGGGACUUCGGUUCCUGGACUCAAAGGCGUAAGUCGUCGGAGGUGGAGCCCGCGCCCGAUUAGCUAGUUGGUGAGGUAAUGGCUCACCAAGGCAAUGAUCGGUAGCUGGUCUGAGAGGAUGGCCAGCCACACUGGAACUGAGACACGGUCCAGACUCCUACGGGAGGCAGCAGUGGGGAAUCUUGCGCAAUGGGCGAAAGCCUGACGCAGCGACGCCGCGUGGGGGAUGAAGCAUCUCGGUGUGUAAACCCCUUUCGACUGGGACGAAUGCCUCGCAAGAGGAGUGACGGUACCAGUAGAAGAAGCCCCGGCUAACUACGUGCCAGCAGCCGCGGUAAGACGUAGGGGGCCAGCGUUGUUCGGAAUUACUGGGUGUAAAGGGUUCGUAGGCGGUGUAGCAAGUCGGGAGUGAAAUCUCUGGGCUUAACCCAGAGGCUGCUUCCGAAACUGCUGUGCUGGAGUGUGGGAGAGGCGCGUGGAAUUGCAGGUGUAGCGGUGAAGUGCGUAGAUAUCUGCAGGAACACCCGUGGCGAAAGCGGCGCGCUGGACCACUACUGACGCUGAGGAACGAAAGCUAGGGGAGCAAACAGGAUUAGAUACCCUGGUAGUCCUAGCCCUAAACGAUCAGGACUUGGGGUGCCACCCGUUCGGGUGUCGUCCCGGAGCUAACGCGUUAAGUCCUGCACCUGGGGAGUACGGUCGCAAGACUGAAACUCAAAGGAAUUGACGGGGCCCGCACAAGCGGUGGAACAUGUGGUUCAAUUCGACGCUACGCGAGGAACCUUACCUGGGCUCGAAAUGCUUCUG
rnacentral:rRNA from 1 species